rnacentral:lncRNA from 1 species
AGGUGAUAACGAGAGCACAACCAUUGCCAGGAUACGAUCGUCCAUAAAUCCCGACACUCUGAAAGUCUGCGACAAAAAUCAUUGUCGUAAAUCAUUCACAAUUGAAAUGUACGAGCUUCAGAAAUCACAUAAACAGCUUCCCGCCACAGUGAUAAACUUCCUGGUGAAAGAUAUAGCAUACGCUACUGAGUAAAACAAGGGAAAGACAGAUGCACUGAGAGCCUCACUUCUAGCUAGUGUGCCACCGGCAUUCGGUCAACAUGACCAGUGUAACAAAGACUGGUGCGGAUACUUGCAAAAUCCAGAUUACUCCCGAUACAAAACUCUUCCAUACGGCAAGCCGUUUACAGGACAAAGACUCUUUAACGAUCUCACCAAAUUGUUUCAAAGAAAGACAGAAGAGUCGCAAUCCUUGUCACAGCUAGGAAAUUCCAAAGGAAAUGAAUCCUUAAAUCAAAUAAUAUCAACAAAGGCCCCGGAAUGGAAACACUUCGGAGGCAGUUCUUCACUGAAUUUCCAAGUGACAUCGGGUAUACCACAAAAGAAUGUCGGAAGGAAAUAUUUAUUAGAGAGCACAAUGCCUACAUUGUCCAGAUCGCGGCAUUAUAUGGAGAAGAAUGUUUUGAACUCUACAUCUUACCGCUGAAGGAACUAAAACCCAAUGGCAUCACAAGCAACCCAUCUUACUGUACAAAAUAAUAAAUUGUAUCACAGAAACGAGACACUGACGAAAGCAGAUAUUUUAAAGACAGCCAGAUUACUACGAGUCUGGUGCCGUACUACUUUUGUUAAUGGUUACGUUCCCACUAGUAGGACACUAAGUAGCUUACAAGACUCUGUGUGUUUGAUGCCAUUGAGAGACUGCACAUGGACAAAAGCCAUAGGAUGGUUAGUGUCGCCACAAGUACCAAUGAAGCUUACGUUGUCAACGUCACAAAUAGUGAACCCAGCAUAGAGACGUAUUACAUCACAGCAUUUUACGUUUAUGUUGCUGACGUCAAUAGGAUUAGGAAACGUGUCACCAAAUACUAACGCCGAGGAAAUAUUCUCAGCAUUUGCUGUUCUGCUUGGUUGUAAAGAUGAUAUAUUUUGCGGUGAUCACGGUGACCUAGAAUGCACGGGAAAAUCGCUCUACUUUGUACUUGCACUUAGAUCAUACUGUUAUAUAAAGAAGACAGAGUCACAUAUGCUGAAAGAAACUCUGAAUACUUCCCCAGAAUUUUCGGACAAAAAAAUCAUGGAUGAAACACAAGGUCAAUUUUAAGCGGGGUGCAUGGUGUCCUAUGAUAGAGCGCCCGGCUCGAGUGCGGGAGGUCGUGGGUCCGAUCCCUGGCUGCGUCAUAAUGGUACUAGUAGCUUCCUUUCUUGGCACUAAGAGGACUGUCAGUAUAAUCUGACUUAGUGGGAUACCAUGUUACGUGUUUACGGCGUAAUAUUCCAGUGAGUCAGCAUUAUAAAGUUGGGAUAGUACAAUUUUCAGCUAUUAAAACAGUGCCACAGUUCGUUUCCGGCGGAACUAACAUACCAUUCUGGGAAUCAUCAGACGUUGGGGCGCCCACUUGUAGUCGUCCACGUUCCUUGGAAGCUGAUGAUACAGCGCCACAUGUUAAGACAGUGACGAAAGCAGAUAUUCUAAAGACAGUCAGAUUACUACGCUAACUCCAUGUGAUAAUGCGCAUUCAAUAAUUUACAGAGUGUGGUGCUGCCGUACUACUUUUGUUAAUUGUUAUGUUCUUUCUGGUAGAACAUUAGCUACUGUGUAUUAUGCCAUCGCAUACUGGGAGCAACUACACUUGGACAAAAGUCACAGGAUGGUUAGAUAGUGCAGCCACAAGUUUCGAUGAAGCUUACGUUGCCAACGUCACGAAUAGUGAUCCCAGCAUAAAGACAUUGCAUCACAGCAUAUUACGUUUACGUUGCUGACGUCAAUAGGCUUAGGAAACGUGUCACCAAAUAACUACGCCGAGAAAAUACUCUCCAUAUUUGCUGUUCUGCU